UCCAACCUUGUAGCCCACCCACCCGACCAACACGUUUCCACCAGGAGGUUGCCGACGCCGCCCCACCCCGUGCGCCGCCGCCCCUGCCUCCCCCAGCGUGCCGCCACCCCCUCCUCCGUCGCGCCGCUGCCCCCGCAUCAUCCAGCAUGAGGCCACCCCCUCCUCCUUCGGUGCGCCGCAGCCCCUGCCUCCUCCAGCGCUCAGAUCCGUGGGAUCCGGCGGUUGCUCACGGCGGUGCUGCUCCGGUUCAGAAACGAGGUUCAGCUUGCUGGUUCCUACCUCCACUGCACCGGACAAUAGAGAGAUAAAAAAAAGUUUGACGCUUACUUAUUUUUCUACAGCGUCAGAUUCAAAAAGUUCAGCUUCGCCCCUGGUUGAAGUUCAGUUGUCACUGAAGCUUAUGUUGUUCAUGACCGUGUGGCUGUAGAACAUCCAUGCAUGUCGAGUAAUUUUCUCAUGCCAGUUCAGUUACAAUAGCAACUCCAGUGUGGCAGUAGGCGAUGGUGAAAACUGAAGUCUGAAACGAGUGUUGCUGAGUACAUCUGGCAACAUAUAUUCUGAAGUUUGUUGGUGAAAAACAAAUGCUAGAACAUCAGUUGGUGUCAUUGGGGUCGUGCGGGCAAGCAACAUUCUCCCCCUGGGUGUACUCUCUCUGUCUCUUUCUCUUUGCAAUUCUAAUCUAUUUGUAGAUUCUAUCUCACAUACCUGACCAUAGUAGCAGACUAGUAGUGUUGUAUGGUCAGCUGCAUAAGGGAGUUUGUGGAGUGCACUACUAUGUCUAGUUGAACUCACAUGGAUUACUUUUAUAAGUCUAAACUACUUUUGGAAA